rnacentral:rRNA from 1 species
UCUGUCGAGCCACGUCGUCAUCGCAUGCCGUAUGGCCGCUCAGUUUCACGACUCUUAUUCUCCGAAGAGUCGUGUACACUUCCCGCCUUUCCCCUAACGAGAUACAACUAGACGACAUAUACUGCUUGUUUACUUCUUGAUAGGAACACGUAAACCUUAUUAGACUACUUGCCCAGAAAUUCGAAUGAAAACCGUCGUUCCGAAGGAACUCUAUUAGGAACAGGUUACAUGUCACUCACGUGUCUAAGAGGUUCUAGAGGUUACGAUGAUAGGAUCCAACCGGCUGCUUAGUUUUCGGUCAAGACAUCAUAAAGAUACCGUGCGUAGACGUCAAGAGACGAGUGUAACAAGGGGACUAGUUCUUUCGAGAGGUCCAACGAGUCACGGACGAGCGACCUUCUCUAAAGUACCCAGUCGGAAAACGGUAAGGUGAGCCCUUGUGAUGUAAUCACUAGAUUUGCGAGAAUAUAAAGAAAUGUGUCCCUCAUCAGCAGUAUCAAAUACGUCGUAGCAGUACCGCGAGUUUCAUCUUUCCCAUAACACCAUACCGGUUCAUUUCCAAGGUCAAGAUCAAAUCAGGACAUAAAUCGACAAAAUCGGAGGUGAGACCGGGAGUUUCACCUGAUGUGCUUGGU